rnacentral:rRNA from 1 species
GUUAAAAAGCUCGUAGUUGGAUUUCUGUCGAAGACGGUCGGUCCGCUCUAUGAGCGUGUAUCUGAUUCGGCUUUGGCAUCCUCGUGGGGAACGUAACUGUGCUUGAUUGCAUGGUGCGGAAUUCACGACUUUUACCUUGAGGAAAUUAGAGUGUUCACGGCAGGCAAGCGCCUUGAAUACAUUAGCAUGGAAUAAUAAUAUAGGACUUUGGUUCUAUUUUGUUGGUUUCUAGGACUAAAGUAAUGAUUAAUAGGGAUAAUUGGGGGCAUUUGUAUUAACGCGUCAGAGGUGGAAUUCUUGGAUUGCGUUACGACAAACUACUGCGAAAGCAUUUGCCAAGGAUGUUUUCAUUGAUCAAGAACGAAAGUAUGGGGAUCGAAGAUGAUUAGAUACCGUCGUAGUCUAUACCAUAAACUAUGCCGACUAGAGAUUGGAGGUCGUUCUUUUUAUGACUCCUUCAGCACCUUAUGAGAAAUCAAAGUCUUUGGGUUCCGUGGGGAGUAUGGUCGCAAGGCUGAAACUUAAAGGAAUUGACGGAAGGGCACCACCAGGAGUGGAGCCUGCGGCUUAAAUUGACUCAACACGGGAAAACUCACCAGGUCCAGACAUAGUAAGGAUUGACAGAUUGAUAGCUCUUUCU